CUUACUCACCAUAGUGCCUUGACCGCCCAGAGCUUCAUCUGGUUUCAGAAGCUAAGCAGGGUCAGGUCUGGUUAAUGUUUGGAUGGGAGACCCCCCCAGAGAAUAACAAGGACCUCCAGGUAGGU
rnacentral:rRNA from 1 species